AUGAGAGCACCACAAGAACUGCUAAUUCUCUACCCCGGAUUUAACCACCCGGCUCUCAUG
rnacentral:tRNA from 1 species